GGAUCAUUGGUAGGAAUGGUGCCAGAGAUCUUUGUUGCAAUUUACACUGGAAUCCUUAUAGAGACCUUGGCAGAUGCUUCAAAUGACGGGCAUUCCCUUUCAGCUCCACAAAUUGUUUUCAAUGUGUUUCUGUGCAACAGUAGCCACUACUAUUAUCUUUACAGUAUUUGCAAAGAGGCAGCUCAAAGUAUUGCAAGACGAACCACUUCUCGCAUAGGUUCUGAAAUAUAGUUAAGAGUCAAGGGAAUGCUAUCUGCUACCCUGGACUUUUCAGGAUUGCGUAUUUGAGCAUGAUUAGGGCGGAUGAGGUUUUAUUUUAUUGAACAACUUCAUCCAUUGAAGGUGUUAUUGCAUGACAAUUUCAGUGGUGCUAUACAGACGUCGUGGAAGAGGACAAACGUCUAACAUCGUAUAGACUGUAGAGCCAUCUUGCUUAUUCUUUUUUCUAUUUUGG
rnacentral:misc_RNA from 1 species